rnacentral:rRNA from 1 species
UACGGGGGGGGCAAGCGUUGUUCGGAAUUACUGGGCGUAAAGGGCUCGUAGGCGGCCAACUAAGUCGGACGUGAAAUCCCCAGGCUCAACCUGGGAACUGCGUCCGAUACUGGAUGGCUUGAAUCCGGGAGAGGGAUGCAGAAUUCCAGGUGUAGCAGUGAAAUGCGUAGAUAUCUGGAGGAAUACCGGUGGCGAAGGCGGCAUCCUGGACCGGCAUUGACGCUGGGGAGCGAAAGCCAGGGGAGCAAACGGG